UAUCCUAAACUAAUGUGGCGGGACACUGCAUCUUUCCUAAGCAUGGACUAUCUUAUAUUUACUUAGUGAUCAUGAAAAAUAGUUGUAUAAACGUCAUACUUAAAAUCACAGAAAUUAAAUAUGAGUUAAAACAAGAUAUCCAUUAAAAAUAAUAAGUUCAUACAACCUCAAGAAUAGAAAUAAAAAAAUAAAUACAAAUCCCUUAUCCUUUUGUUAGGGCUACAUCCAAAUCUAGAGAAGAGCUCAGGCUUCCAUGCAGUGGUGGACGGCAGCAGCAGCACAGUAGCAGGCUCCCAUUCCUUCCUUCUCUUCCUCCGGCGACUCCCCUAUGAACGUAGACUUCAUUAUUUCCUCAUAUGGGAAGUUAUUCCCGAAAUGCCCAAAAUUUUCUCCCUCUUAUUUUUUUGGGAAUUUGGCUGGUAACCCAAGCUUGCUUUCUCCCGGUGAAGCUUCCUCCUUUUAUAGCUGCAAUCUCCCCCUCUCUCCUCCUUCCAAGUCGAGAUAAAGAUGGAUCAACGGCUUCCAACUCCCCCUAGCUCCUCCUUCCGAGUGCAGGAUAAGGAUGAAGACGCGGUGGGUAUCUUGCGGAUGGCUGGAAUGAGCUGGGAGCAGGUGAUGUGGAGAAGAUCUCAGAGGUGACGUGGAGGUUGGAGCUCUAUUUCGAAGCAGAGGAAGUCGUGGAAGACGCGGGAUGGCACUCACGGCUGAGAGGAUCUCGGCUAAUAGCUGAGAGGAAACCGAAACAGGGGAAGAGGAUGAGAGGAUAAGCUUGGACAUUGAGCAGGGAAGAUGAACUUGGACGUUGGGAAGAGAUGAAGCUGUGAUGGUUGACAGCUGGGACUUGAAGCUUAGAUCGAAACCGUAGGAGGUUGGGAGGAAGUUGGGACUCGGGAUAAGGAUGAUGUUGGAACAGGGGAGCUAGGACGAACACAGAGGAAUUCGGAAGAGAUGAAGCUGGGAGCAAAUCCGGAUGAAGUCUGGAUUCGGUUGAGGAUGUGGAUGAAGAUAAAAGUUUGUUUGCUUGGCAUGCAUCGCGGGAGAAGCUGGGAGAUGUCCGGGAGAAGAAAAGAUGAGCUUUGAACACGGAUGAUUACGAACUUGAGAUCAUUCCGGAAGAAGGAAUCUCAUGCGGAUGGUAGCCGUUGAUAGGAUCGCUGUGAACUCGGGAAGAUGAAAUGGAUGUGGAAUUCGGGAGGAUGAAGUGGAUGUUGGGAGAUUAGUUGAGAUGAAGACACGGAAGACUUGAAAACGAUGGAUACGGCUGAGAAUAGAGGAGCUGGGAUUCCGAAAUUUGCUGGGAGAUGUUAGGAUGUUAUCCGGAGGGAUAUUGGCUGCUUGAUCCGAACGGAAGAAGAUCACAACGGGAUGAAGCUAAUCCGGAUGCUGAGUUUGAGCUUAUCCGGACUCUGUUUUGAAGCAGGGAUUUAUCCGAGAUGAUGGAGUUGGGAUGAGGAUGCAGGGGAUUCGGAGUUGCUGCCGUUGGUUGAGAUGAAGAUGGGCGUAAGGGAGAAUCGGACAUGAUGUUGCUAGGUUCAUGCGGACGGGAGGGAGGACACGUGCUGAGAAAUGAAAAUUGGGGUCGACUCUAAUUGGUUGGGAAGAUCCGAUUCAUGGGGUGCAUGCGAUUUGGGUUCAGGGGUCAUCCCAGAUGAAUUUGAUUCAACCUGCAUACAUUAGAUGGACCAAUAAAAUCAAGCAAAAUCGAAUUAUUUUUAAUAAUGCAAUGAUGAAGGGGAACACAUUUUCUUAUGUUAAAUUUAAAAUAUGUGCA
rnacentral:lncRNA from 1 species